rnacentral:rRNA from 1 species
UACGUAGGUGGCAAGCGUUAUCCGGAAUUAUUGGGCGUAAAGCGCUCGUAGGUGGAUUUGCAAGUCUGCAAGGAAAGACCCGGGCUCAACUCGGGAACCCGUGUGGAUACUGCAAACCUUGAGGUAGUCAGAGGAUGAUGGAAUUCCCGGUGUAGCGGUGAAAUGCGUAGAUAUCAAGAGGAACACCUGAGGUGAAGACGGGUUGCUGGGCCGACACUGACGCUGACAGCGCGAAAGCCAGGGGAGCAAACGGG